UACGUAGGGUGCAAGCGUUAAUCGGAAUUACUGGGCGUAAAGCGUGCGCAGGCGGUUAUGUAAGACAGUUGUGAAAUCCCCGGGCUCAACCUGGGAAUUGCAUCUGUGACUGCAUAGCUAGAGUACGGUAGAGGGGGAUGGAAUUCCGCGUGUAGCAGUGAAAUGCGUAGAUAUGCGGAGGAACACCGAUGGCGAAGGCAAUCCCCUGGACCUGUACUGACGCUCAUGCACGAAAGCGUGGGGAGCAAACGAGGAUUACGAAACCCCG
rnacentral:rRNA from 1 species